rnacentral:rRNA from 1 species
GGGAAUUCGAUUUUCCGGUUGAUCCUGCCGGAGGUCACUGCUAUUGGGGUCCGGCUAAGCCAUGCGAGCGGAGGGCGCGGUCGAAAGAUCGUGGCCCCGCACACGGCUCAGUAACACGUAGUCAACCUACCCUUGGGACGGGAACAACCUCGGGAAACUGAGGCUAAUUCCCGAUAGGCGAGGGACGCUGGGAUGCUUCCUCGCCCAAAGCUCCGGCGCCCAGGGAUGGGACUGCGGUCUAUCAGGCUGUUGGUGGUGUAACGGACCACCAAACCUACGACGGGUACAGGCGAUGGGAGUCGGAGCCUGGAGAUGGGGACUGAGACAAGGCCCCAGGCCCUACGGGGCGCAGCAGGCGCGAAAACUCCGCAAUGCGCGUAAGCGUGACGGGGGGACCCCAAGUGCCGUUGGUCUUUUGAUCGACGGCUUUUAGGAAGUCUAUGAAGCUUCCAGAAUAAGGGCUGGGUAAGACUGGUGCCAGCCGCCGCGGUAACACCAGCAGCCCAAGUGGUGACCACGAUUAUUGGGCCUAAAGCGCUCGUAGCCGGGUCAGCAAGUCCCUUGUGAAAUCGGGCCGCCUAACGGUUCGGCGUGCAAGGGAUACUGUUGGUCUUGAGGCCGGGAGAGGUCGGAGGUACUCCUGGGGUAGCGGUGAAAUGCUCUAAUCCUAGGGGGACCACCAGUGGCGAAGGCGUCCGACCAGAACGGACCUGACGGUGAGGGGCGAAGGCUAGGGGAGCGAACGGGAUUAGAUACCCCGGUAGUCCUAGCUGUAAAGCAUGCGGGCCAGGUGUCUAGCGCU